UACAGAGGGUGCAAGCGUUGUUCGGAAUUAUUGGGCGUAAAGCGCGUGUAGGCGGCUUUGCAAGUCGGGUGUGAAAUCCCUCAGCUCAACUGAGGAAGUGCGCCCGAAACUGCAAAGCUUGAGUACCGGAGAGGAUGGUGGAAUUCCCCAAGUAGAGGUGAAAUUCGUAGAUAUGGGGAGGAACACCAGAGGCGAAGGCGGCCUACUGGGUCAGUACUGACGCUGAGCCGCGAAAGCCAGGGGAGCGAACGGG
rnacentral:rRNA from 1 species